GGGGUUAUAGCUCAGCUGGGAGAGCGCCUGCCUUGCACGCAGGAGGUCUGCGGUUCGAUCCCAUAACUCCACCA
rnacentral:tRNA from 1 species